UAUAGAGAGCCUUUCUCUCCUACAUGCCAUUUGCUGCCUGCAGUUGGGUGUCUGUGAACAUGCCAGGGUUGCCCUGCAUUCUGUUGUCCAGAUCCUUAACAAAGGUGCUGGCAGUCUUAAUGAGUGUUAGCCCCUGAGGGAUGCUGUGGGGACUGGCUGCUGAUGGGACUUCACACCACCAGCCCUUGGAGCCUGGAGGGAUACUGGAGUUGUUAAGAAAUAAGGUCAAGAGAGAUUACUGUUUUUUAAAUUGUUCUUCACUCAUCUUUGAAGUAGUCUCAAGUCAUCAUGACAGGAAAUCAACUGAGUUCAGAGAGCAGAAAAAGUGGAGGAGAAGCAGUCAAGGAAUAACUUGAUCAGAUUUCACUAUGGGAAGUUGGAAGCAUCUGCUGGAAUCCUCUGGGGCAAAGGCUGGUGGCUCUGGAUCUGCUGCAGGAAACAUCACAACUGCUGAUGAUCAUUGUCAGAGCUAUGUUUUCCUCUACCUAGAGCUGCAGCAGCAUGGGUGCAGGAAAACAGAACCACUGUAAAGGGUUUUCUGAAAGACCCUUUUCUGCUACAUCACACAACAGCCAUCUGGGCUUGGUUCUCCAGGCAGCUAUGCUCUGUCCAAAUGAAAUCCCUUUCAUGUCUAGAUUUUUUUUGGUGUUGUUCAGGUGCACUUACUGCUUAAAAUGAAGUUAUUUCUGUAAUUUAUUUGGGUCAGAUUCUCUGUCUCCUUCUCAUGAUGAAGAACUGAAGACUGCUUUAGGUAGUAUGCAUGUUCAUUUUUGUUGGUUUUGUCAUCUUAUCCACCAGCCCUAAAUCAGCCUGUUAAUUUUAUUGCCUUCUGCUUGCUGCUGUCUAGAAGAAUCACGAAGUGCUUUUCCGAAAUGUCAGGUCUGCAGUGUAAUAGCUCUGAAAAGCCUAUUCACUGAAAAUUGGCAGCUGAGUAGCAUUGAGAAACAUAUAUAUAAAAAAAAAUCACUUACAUGGCUGAUUUAUUUCACUAUUUUUUAUCCUGUUGAGAAAUGACAGCGUAUUUAUGAAGUCAAGGUACGUAUUCGGGGUGAGAAACGGAGCAGUCUGACUGUGAAAUCCUUUACAUGAGACACUGCCCUGAGCAUAAUCUUUUCUUUCAUAUAAAUUUUGUAAUUUUGGAUCACGUUUCUUCU
rnacentral:lncRNA from 1 species